UACAGAGGUCUCAAGCGUUUGUUCGGAUUCAUUGGGCGUAAAGGGUGCGUAGGCGGCGCGGUAAGUCGGGUGUGAAAUCUCGGAGCUUAACUCCGAAACUGCAUUCGAUACUGCCGUGCUUGAGGACUGGAGAGGAGACUGGAAUUUACGGUGUAGCGGUGAAAUGCGUAGAUAUCGUAAGGAAGACCAGUGGCGAAGGCGGGUCUCUGGACAGUUCCCGACGCUGAGGCACGAAGGCCAGGGGGAGCAAACGGGG
rnacentral:rRNA from 1 species